rnacentral:rRNA from 1 species
AUUGAACGCUGGCGGCAUGCCUUACACAUGCAAGUCGAACGGUAACGGACCUUCGGGUGCCGACGAGUGGCGAACGGGUGAGUAAUGCAUCGGAACGUACCUUUCAGUGGGGGAUAACGUAGCGAAAGUUACGCUAAUACCGCAUAUUCUGUGAGCAGGAAAGCAGGGGAUCGCAAGACCUUGCGCUGAUUGAGCGGCCGAUGUCAGAUUAGCUAGUUGGUGAGGUAAAGGCUCACCAAGGCGACGAUCUGUAGCGGGUCUGAGAGGAUGAUCCGCCACACUGGAACUGAGACACGGUCCAGACUCCUACGGGAGGCAGCAGUGGGGAAUUUUGGACAAUGGGGGCAACCCUGAUCCAGCCAUGCCGCGUGAGUGAAGAAGGCCUUCGGGUUGCAAAGCUCUUUCGGUCGGGAAGAAAUCGCAUGGGUUAAUACCCUGUGCGGAUGACGGUACCGGCAUAAGAAGCACCGGCUAACUACGUGCCAGCCGCCGCAGUAAAAC